AUUGAACGCUGGCGGCAUGCUUUACACAUGCAAGUCGAACGGUAACAGGCCGCGAGGUGCUGACGAGUGGCGAACGGGUGAGUAAUGCAUCGGAACGUGCCCAGUCGUGGGGGAUAACGCAGCGAAAGCUGUGCUAAUACCGCAUACGAUCUAUGGAUGAAAGCGGGGGACCGUAAGGCCUCGCGCGAUUGGAGCGGCCGAUGUCAGAUUAGGUAGUUGGUGGGGUAAAGGCUCACCAAGCCAACGAUCUGUAGCUGGUCUGAGAGGACGACCAGCCACACUGGGACUGAGACACGGCCCAGACUCCUACGGGAGGCAGCAGUGGGGAAUUUUGGACAAUGGGCGCAAGCCUGAUUCAGCAAUGCCGCGUGCAGGAAGAAGGCCUUCGGGUUGUAAACUGCUUUUGUACGGAACGAAACGGUCUGGGUUAAUACCCUGGGCUAAUGACGGUACCGUAAGAAUAAGCACCGGCUAACUACGUGCCAGCCGCCGCCGUAAGAC
rnacentral:rRNA from 1 species